rnacentral:rRNA from 1 species
UGAGCGACCUACCUAAUUGUGGGGGAUAGCCGGCCCAACGGCCGGGUAAUACCGCAUACGAUCGGAGAGGGGCAUCCCUUUCUGAGGAAAGCCUUCGGGCGCAAUUUGAGGGGCUCGCGGCCUAUCAGCUAGUUGGCGGGGUAACGGCCCACCAAGGCGACGACGGGUAGCUGGUCUGAGAGGGCGACCGGCCACACUGGGACUGAGACACGGCCCAGACUCCUACGGGAGGCAG